UGCAAGUCGAGCGAGAACCAGGGCUUGCCCUGGGGACAGCGGCGAACGGGUGCGUAACACGUGAGCAACCUGCCCCAAAGACCGGGACAACCCGAGGAAACUCGGACUAAUACCGGAUGCCCUCACCGGGUCGCAUGGUCUGGUGAGGAAAUGGAUUCCGCUUUGGGAUGGGCUCGCGGUCUAUCAGCUUGUUGGUGGGGUAACGGCCUACCAAGGCGACGACGGAUAGCUGGUCUGAGAGGACGAUCAGCCACACUGGGACUGAGACACGGCCCAGACUCCUACGGGAGGCAGCAGUGGGGAAUCUUGCGCAAUGGGGGAAACCCUGACGCAGCGACGCCGCGUGCGGGAUGAAUGCCUUCGGGUUGUAAACCGCUUUCAGCAGGGACGAAAUUGACGGUACCUGCGGAAGAAGGCCCGGCCAACUACGUGCCAGCAGCCGCGGUAAUACGUAGGGGCCUAGCGUUGUCCGGAAUUAUUGGGCGUAAAGAGCUCGUAGGCGGUUCGGCAAGUCGGAUGUGAAAUCUCCACGCUUAACGUGGAGGGGCCAUUCGAAACUGCUGUGACUAGAGUCCGGUAGGGGAGUGUGGAAUUCCCGGUGUAGCGGUGAAAUGCGCAGAUAUCGGGAGGAACACCAGUAGCGAAGGCGGCACUCUGGGCCGGAACUGACGCUGAGGAGCGAAAGCGUGGGGAGCGAACAGGAUUAGAUACCCUGGUAGUCCACGCCGUAAACGUUGGGCACUAGGUGUGGGACUCUAUCGACGGGUUCCGUGCCGUAGCUAACGCAU
rnacentral:rRNA from 1 species